UCACUUUGGCAGUAUAUAUACUAAAAUUAGGAUAAUACAGAAGAUUAACCUGGUCCUUGUACAAGGGUGACAUGCAUAUUUAUGAAAUAGUCCCUAUUUUU
ensembl:snRNA U6 U6 spliceosomal RNA